AUGGGAGGCGCCUGUUAUCGUUUGGAGGCGGCGGGUUGCGUCAGAGAUUGCAGCAGGCCGGCCGGAAUCGCCUCGGAGUGGUGGUUGCAAGGUUGGCUGGAGAGUAUCACCGGAGGGGUUACGGUAGCAGAUCGUGGAGGAAGCGGCGGUUGUGGGCUGAAGCGAUGGAGGAGGCCGGUCGGAAUUAGAGGGAGCGGAGGGAGUGUCGUCGGUUCAAUUCUCCUUCUUCCUUUUUCUCAACAACAAUCUACAACAAAACCAUCAAACAACAAAAAAAAGUUUAGUUUGCUCCUGAUUUUUUAUUUGAAGGAGUUGUGA